UCUACGGGAGGCAGCAGUGGGGAAUAUUGGACAAUGGGCGGAAGCCUGAUCCAGCAACGCCGCGUGAGGGAUGACGGCCUUCGGGUUGUAAACCUCUUUCAGCACAGACGAAGCGCAAGUGACGGUAUGUGCAGAAGAAGGACCGGCCAACUACGUGCCAGCAGCCGCGGUAAUA
rnacentral:rRNA from 1 species